CGUAGGCUAACCGCAAGGAGGCCGCCUACCACGGUACGCUUCAUGACUGGGUG
rnacentral:rRNA from 1 species